rnacentral:rRNA from 1 species
CGCGUAAGAACCUGCCCUUGGGAGGGGAACAACAGCUGGAAACGGCUGCUAAUACCCCAUAGGCUGAGGAGCAAAAGGAAGGAAAUCCGCCCAACGGAGGGGCGUCGCGUCUGAUUAGUUAGUUGGUGAGGCAAUGGCUUACCAAGGCGACGAUCAGUAGCUGGUCCGAGAGGAUGAUCAGCCACACUGGGACUGAGACACGGCCCAGACUCCUACGGGAGGCAGCAGUGGGGAAUUUUCCGCAAUGGGCGAAAGCCUGACGGAGCAAUGCCGCGUGAAGGCAGAAGGCCCACGGGUCAU